AUAUAUUCAUACACAUAGCUCAUAUAUUAUACAGCGCCAAACUUAUCCGCUUGACUCAAGUCAUUGCACGUAUCCCUGCCCAAACAGGAACGAACACAUAUACCCAACCAUAAACUGCCCCUCUCAGUUCUCUUAUCUCACGACCCCAGGACACACACAGACAUUCCAUCGCACGAACACACACACCCAGCCAUAAAACUGCCCCUCUCAGUUCCCCCUACCUCACGAUCCCCUGACACACAAAUACCUUCUUGCAUAAACACACACACUUCAUCCCCCCUCUACUGGUCGGGUGCCCAGAGCAGAAGACUCUGCUGUGCACCAAUGGGGCUCCUGCUCUGGCUAGAGCAGGUCCGCCUCCAACCCUUCGGGACCAUUCAGAAGGCGACACGACAAAACUCUACCUACAUUAUUCCAUGUAUAAAAACUGCUGUAACCUUUGUCUAAGCCCCUUUUUCAGCUAACUCCUUCUGAGCUAUAUGAAUCAGGUCCGUGCACGUUAAACUGCAGGACAAGAUAUCUUUUGACUCAAUAAACUGCCUUUUUGUUACAACUGAAAUCCACUCUGUCCAGCGUCCAUGAUUUGGUCUCACUCUCCUGUAAGUUAAUCAUCAACAGAGGCGAGACAGAGGUGAGGACAUCAUCCUGCUAUUUUGACAGUCCCUGAAGGACAAUACAGAAGAGGACUGGAGACCACAGCAGCGAUUCUGCUCUUGCCCAACCUCUUCAAUUGAGGACCCGAGUGGCCUUUAUGUCCGUGACAAGAUUUCACCGCUUUUCACUCCUUUACUGCACAUCAGUGGAAAUCCAUUUCACCAUGAGAGUGAAAACCCGCUGGCCUUUGAUGGGGAGAACAUCCACGCCCUCGAGGACGUCCCCAUGGGACUUGGGGCUCUGCUAGGACUCUCCAUAGCUACGUAGCAACUCUCCAAACUCCCAGCGGAACCAAAAAUAAACUUUUGUUUCCCGGACAAUGAUCAUGGGAUCGUCAACGGUUCUCUAACCUCCCAGAGACCACGGCAAAAUCAAGCCUCCCAGGAACUAUAGACCUUCAGCUGCUUUCUAAAAUGUCAAUCAUCUGAUUAAGCAUAUUUCUAUAUGUUACUAUCCAAACGUCAGAUUAAGACUCAUUUCCAUAUUCACACAACUCUCAUAUCAGUCACACAAUGCUAUUCCCAAACAUACCUAAUCAAUUAGUUGUUUUUCAACAAUAUUUUAACCUGCAGGAAUAUUUUCACAUUUCUAUCUCAUGGUUAGUUCCUAGGAUAAUGCAACUCAUACAUUGACACUCAGAACCUCCUGUCUCGGCCCUGUUUACACCUCCAAGGUGCCCCCCUCACACAGGAAUACACACUCAGAGCCUAUGAGGCUUUUCUAAAAACUCCACUUGUUUUGCUCAUUUUCUUUUCUUUAAAAAAAAAACUACGUUCGAGAUGUGGUAUCCACUCGGCUCGCUGCCUCUCAGAUCAAAGGUGGGUCCAUCUGCUCCGUUCCCGAAGUCUGGUCUCCCUGAGAUUCCAAGUUUGAGGGAUCCCUCCACGAUUUACCCACGUCGUGAGGAGCGGUCACCAAGUCAAGAUUCACAUCCCCAUUGCCAAAUGUGGUGGUUAAUUUCUUUAAUAUCAAAUGAGAAACAAACUUAUCACAUAAGUCAGAGUUAUUCUUAAACUAAAUCUUUAUUCACUUAAUAAUAAGGGAGCAGGUCAAUACAACACACACAUAUAAAGUGAAUCAAUUGAGUGCUCUACGAUAAUUAUGGCUGGUCGACGAAUCACCCCCAGAUGAUUAGUUGAGAGCCCAGAUACAAAAGUACAAAGGUAUUUUACAGCCAAUUUACACCCCUUUCAAUCUACAUGACGAACAACCAAUGUAAAGAAUGGGUCACAAGAUAAAGAUUUGUAUGGAAGAUAUAAUUCUCAGCAGACAGUAUCUGCUGUAAAAACAGUACUCUUUGUGUAGAGACCAGGGUCUGGCCCUGGGGUCAUCUCUCCCUGGUACCACAUAGAACAGAAACAUUAACUCAUAAUCUGGAAUGUGGUCUCUUCAUGUAUUAUCACCCAAAAGACAUUGUAAAUCUCCUGUCAGUGUUAUCUCCCAGAGGCCCAUCCUCAGUAGAACACACAGACACAAUAGUUCUAAGAAUCCUCUAUUCUGUUGCAUAAAACAACCAUUUGAUGCAAUAAAAGUAUAAUAACAUAAUCUUGCAAUUUUGCUCUCAGUGUCCACUGAAAGUUGACUAGUAACAACAACUGGGACCUAAAAGACACCCACCAUGAGACCCAUUAAAUCUGCCCAAGAAGAGGCAAACAAAAGAAAAACCCACAACUAACUUAAAAACAGGAAGCAAACCAAAGCGGUAGCGCAACUAAAGGUGUUGAUUUGUCACAUCUAUCAAGACAACUGGAGCACUGGGCCAGACACUCUUAAAUAUAACCUGAAUCAGCUCAGGUGAAACACCUUCCCACUAACGAGAUGGACAAGCCAGCAAAGGUGGAACACAUAUUGACUAACGAGGUGACACCAAAACGUGCUAACGUUCAACCUCAAAACAUAAAUGGAAAAACUAAAGUCUGUAACACCUUCCUCCUUAAGACAAAUAUAUCCUGUUUUUGUUGGACAAGUUUGCUUACCACCAAGAGAAAACAACUUCCAUUUCACAUUAUAAUCUACUAUAAUGCUUCACCUUCUACAAUAUAAACAUGGUGUCUACUGGCUAUCAACAAUUAAAAACAAGAAAAAACAUUUGUAAACAAUAUAUACAAUCAUAUUAUUUUUAUAUCCCUUUUCUUACUAUAAAACUCAUCUUCCUAAAACCCACUAGCUUCUGGAACUCUCAUCCCCUUGGAACGAGCUCAAACAAAACUCAUCUCCAAUACAGAAAAACAUGCAAUAAACUGUGAUCCAUGGCAACGCACUGGCUAAACGUAAACACUAAACUUUUUGACUACCCACCCUUGAGACAAUCAGCAACCAAGUUGUCCUUAACACAGACAUGUCUGAUUUCAAGAGGAAACUCCUGCAAUACCCGUAGUAACUUUCCACCUCACUGCGGAGCUUCUCUCUCUUUCCAGGGUUCACUAGAUGUUGUUGGAUCUGGGCCCAGUCCCCAAUGUCAUGCUCUAGAACAUUUGGUUUGGCACAUCUGAGAAUGAUCCCUGAUAUUCUAAAAGCAGGGUAACAAUGUCAAUAUAAUUGUACCCAAAAAUCGUCAGUUGGUUGCAUAAAUAAUUAUGAUUACUAAAUGUUACAUGAAUUGUAAAUAUGAAAUAUCAAAACCAAAUGUACACCCCUUUGUUAAUAUGUAUUAGCAAUAAUUAACUAAAUUGAAAUAUUUGUAGGUGAUUUGAGUCAUGCUUCGUCAUUAUUGGAAUAAAGACAUUUAGCACUUGAA